UAUUUCUAACAGCCACCUCAGAUGUGCAGGAUGCACCGUUUGUGUUCUUUUCCUAGGAGGGGAAAGAGGAAAGAAAGCACAAAAAAAAGCUUUGGAGCUUAUUUAAUCUUUGAAUUGGAUAUGUUUCAGCAUAUAAGCCAAGUUCAUGAGAUUGUGGGACGCAUUAAUGGGAGAUUUGGAACUCUUACUGCUGUUCCCAUACACCAUCUGGACCAAUCUCUUGACUUUCACGCAUUGUGCGCUCUGUAUGCUGUUACUGGUACUCAUUUUUGUUUUGUAACAAAACCGUUAAUCAAUUUUGUCUUAGAUAAGUAAAUUGUUCAUAGGCUGCCUAGUUUGUAGUGAUUCCUAUGGUAACUCAAUCAUGUAAUACAUUAAUAUGGUGAAACAACAGAAGGCAAUUGUGCCUUCAAUUAAUUAAUUUUGUUUACCAUGAGUAACUCAAUUGCUAUAUGAUAUCUGUUUUUCAUUUCUAUAUUUUCAUUUUCCAUGUUCAAUUAUGUACAAAUUGGGUAAGUGAAGUAAAACUUAUAAAGUGACAGUGUGUUAAUUUGUGUAAUUUACUUUUUUUUUUUUUUUUUCAGAUGGAAUAACAAAUAUACUGGUAGAAAUGAAUGUUAUAGCACCACAUGCUUUUGUUUCAUAAGUUUGGUUUACCCACAUCGUGAAAAUAUUGUGGGUAAUCAACCAACUUAUGAAGAGUUAGUUGAACGACUUAAUGAUACAACUUCCCGCCUUAAUGCUACUAACGAACAACUUAGUGUAGUUGUGGAUAUACUUCGUCAUAACAAUUUGAUGGCACCGCCUCCACCACCUCCAACAGACCAAGCUUCAGAUGCAAAUUUAAGAGAGUCGCCAUCUAUUUCAGUUUGGGAGUCACAAGAUGAUUCUUAGUUUAUUUACAUUAAUUUACUAAGGAAUGAACUUUAUGAAGUUUUUUUUUUAUUUUGGUAGGGGUAACCUUAAAAUGAUAACUUUAUGACUUAUUUUAGUAUUGAACAUUAUAAAGAAUUUUAGCAUUAAACAUUUUA